rnacentral:lncRNA from 1 species
UUAUAAUUAGGUACAGUAUAUGUCUAUAUAUAUAUAUAUGUGUGUGUGUGUGUGUAAACACCAGCAAAAUCUUUUUUCUUCUGUGAAACCCGUGAGUGAGGCACUUAAUCAGAUAAUGUUUUUAUGAAUUGACUAUUUGUCGUGUUAAUUUAAAAGAAAAAAAAUUAGAGAGAAUUUAUUCUCACCCCAAGUAAAAUACAUAUCUCGAUAAACUAUUGAAAUUUUAAAAUUAAAUCAUGCAAAACUCUCUG